CCUACGGGAGGCAGCAGUAGGGAAUAUUGGACAAUGGGCGCAAGCCUGAUCCAGCCAUCCCGCGUGAAGGAUUAAGGCCCUCUGGGUUGUAAACUUCUUUUCUCUGGGAAUAAAAACCGGUAUUCAUAUUGGCUUGAAGGUACCAGAGGAAUAAGCACCGGCUAACUCCGUGCCAGCAGCCGCGGUAAUACGGAGGGUGCAAGCGUUAUCCGGAUUCACUGGGUUUAAAGGGUGCGUAGGUGGCUUUGUAAGUCAGUGGUGAAAUGCCGCAGCUCGACUGCGGAACUGCCAUUGAUACUGCUUAGCUUGAAUCACGUCGAGGUGGAUGGAAUAAUACAUGUAGCGGUGAAAUGCUUAGAUAUGUAUUAGAACACCGAUUGCGAAGGCAGUUCACUAGGCGUGUAUUGACACUGAGGCACGAAAGCGUGGGGAUCAAACAGGAUUAGAUACCCUGGUAGUCCACGCCCUAAACGAUGUAAACUCGACAUUAGCGAUAUACUGUUAGUGUCCAAGCGAAAGCGUUAAGUUUACCACCUGGAAGUACGACCGCAAGGUUGAACUCAAAUGAAUUGACGG
rnacentral:rRNA from 1 species